rnacentral:pre_miRNA from 1 species
GAUCUACUCCCUCCGUUUUAAAUUAUUCGUCGCAGAAAUGGAUGUAUCUAGAACUAAAAUACAUCUAGAUACAUCCAUACCCGCGACAAGUAAUUCGAAACGGAGGAAGUAUACA